UGGCUCAGGACGAACGCUGGCGGCGUGCUUAACACAUGCAAGUCGAACGAUGAAGCCCUUCGGGGUGGAUUAGUGGCGAACGGGUGAGUAACACGUGGGCAAUCUGCCCUUCACUCUGGGACAAGCCCUGGAAACGGGGUCUAAUACCGGAUAACACCGGCUUCUGCAUGGAAGCUGGUUAAAAGCUCCGGCGGUGAAGGAUGAGCCCGCGGCCUAUCAGCUUGUUGGUGGGGUAAUGGCCUACCAAGGCGACGACGGGUAGCCGGCCUGAGAGGGCGACCGGCCACACUGGGACUGAGACACGGCCCAGACUCCUACGGGAGGCAGCAGUGGGGAAUAUUGCACAAUGGGCGAAAGCCUGAUGCAGCGACGCCGCGUGAGGGAUGACGGCCUUCGGGUUGUAAACCUCUUUCAGCAGGGAAG
rnacentral:rRNA from 1 species